CAUGCCCCCAGCGCUGCCAGCCAAUGCUGUCCAUCACCACACUGUUCAUUCCCGGGACUGAGGUGUGAGGCUGCCACUGAGAACUCGCAUUGCAGUCCGUAGUCACUGAACUCUUCAGCGUUUGAAUGAAAGGGAAGAAGUGUGGGGGAGAUAGCCUGGGAAGUCAAGAGGCGAGAGAUGAAGCGACAGAGAGACAGCGUCUCACACAGAUGGAGCCUCUGAUUUACCAUCACAGGGACCUGGCGACACUCCAAGCUCACCCACUCCUGGGGAUCUACGAAGUGCAGAUGGUAGAACAAGAGUAAAGAUGAGGAGAGACUCUUAAAGGGAUAGCAACAACAACAACAAAAUAAGGCGAGGCAGGGGAGCUCCCUUCUCUCCAUCUGCCUGAGAAAUCACUCAAGGCCCUGCUUCACUCUAGAGAUAUUCCAAACUGUUAGCCGCAUGCACAUCACAGGCAAGGACUCCGAAGCCUGCUGCAUGGAGUCUUGUUCCCUGGGUGGGGAAUGUGCAGGCUAAAAUUACCUUGAUGUCCAUCACAGAGCUGAGAGAUGUCAUGAGGGUAAGGCACCAGGAAUGAAUCCUCCCCGUGGCUGGAAAGCUCACCUGUCAAUAUAAGGAAACCCAGCCCCAUGCUGUCAGAGAAAAGGGGAAAGCUUUUUACCUCUAGAGGUGCAGCCAUUGGCCGGGUCAAUUUCCUUCCCGUCAACUUUAAAUGCCCAGCGUCCUGGAACAUUGACAUUUGUGGUCUCUUGAAUAUUUACAAUCUCAGGGGUCCUUGAUCCCGGAAGACUGAAGAAAUUCGUGAGGUUUCCACCAUUAAAUCCUGCCUGGAGCACACACACACACACAAAAGGGGUUUAAGCACUUACCAUCCCUAUUCCUUAGCUGACUCGAUUACAUUAAGAAUUCAUCACACUUGGAAACAAUGUAUCACUUUUUCCUGGAUUCCAUGAGUCACCAUUCAAGGGGUGGAAAGCCUGCUUAGUUCACUCCAUGCCCAGAGUAAGGUAUCAAAGAUAGAUAAGGCUAGCCCCUCAGUAUACCUACAAGAUCAAAAGUGUGCUUCCAGAGCAAGGGUAUUAACGGGACUCUGUCCAGGAUGCCCAGCAAAGCAAGCAAGAGAUAUGGUGAUAUAAAUCUGCAAGAGGAUGAUGCAGAGAACCUUGUACCUGUGCCAUCACACCUCCAAGGCCUGUUAGAGGGUCGCCACCGCUGGCUGUCCCAGUCGUCCAGUUGAUCUCAUAGUAAUUAAAGAGCGUGAAUGUGUAGGAGCCGUCGGAUACCAGCACAGCCUGGAAGGUGUUCACCUGCAGAAGGACCUCUUAGCAAUAAAGUGCUUCGAGCUGCUAGACAGACGAUGCUAAAACCCAUCCCCAUUGUGUCCUCGCUAUGAAUUGCAAGACCAGCACUUUUUAACCUCUCUCUGCUACACAAGAAUUUCUGUCCCACCCCCGAACAGUCAACUCAUUGCCAGGAAAGCAGAUGGAAUUACAAAUAACCCUAAGAAAGAAGAGGAUAGAUUUUUUUUUUAAAGUUUCUCUGCUUACUAGGAAACUACAGUUGAAGAUGGGUGUGAUUUUGACUUCAACGUCCUCCACUAUCACGGUCACCCAAACAAGCUGUAUGCAUUCAUGGAAACUGGGGUUUUGUCCCUUUAGGCAGAAAGUUGAUUAUCUCUAUGAUAUUACCAGAGAUAAUCUUUUUUAUUUGACUUUUAUUUGACUGCUCAUUUGGGAUUUCAGAGCAGAUGUUGAAACUUUAUUCAGGAAUUGCUUUAACUGCCCACUCUAAUUAACAUCAAGUAUGAAUCAUUUCAGCCCUGGUCACAAUAAAAAAAAUGUCAUAACAUAAUAAAAUGAACCAGGCCGUUUGUUCCCCCAACCCAGCACCCUGCUUCUCUCUUGCUACCAGAUUUUAUGGAGGGGAAAAAAAAGGGGAAAUUAUCGAUGAUGAGAAACAUUUGUGCCUCUGGCAAGAGAAAAAGCCCUUUGUGUUCCUCACAAGAUCCAUAAUCACACGGCCUGGAAUGAGUCGCUUUGCCUUUAUCACUCGCUCACAAAAGAGAAUGCUACCUCCUGCAGUAAUAUUGUCGAGAGACUCCUUUUAGACAUUGGUAAUGAAUUGAGACUGGGAUGACACAUCUGAAAUGUUUCAGCUGACUAGACUGGUUCAUGCUGAUAUUUCCCUCCACUUCCUGGAAAAUGGGUGGCGAGACCUAUUAGUUUAACUCAAGCGAACUGACACUCCUCCACUCUACCAAUUACAUCCCUGCUCAGUAGUGAGGACGAACAGGAUGUCAGAGACCCCGUAGAAAGUGGAAAGGCUGGGUGAUUACAGGCGUGG